AUUGAACGCUGGCGGCAGGCCUAACACAUGCAAGUCGAGCGGAGAGGCGGACGGGUGAGUAAUGCCUAGGAAUAAGCCAGGUGGUGGGGGAUAAAGUACGGCAACGGACGCUAAUACCGCAUACUAUGAGAUGAGCAUAGGACGGAUUAGCUAGUGGGUGGGGAAAAGGCAUACCAAGGCGACGAUACGUAACUGAUCUGAGAGGGUGAUCAGUCACACUGGAACUGAGACACGGGCCCGACUUCUACGGGAGGCAGCAGUGGGGAUUAUUGGACAAUGGGCGAAAGCCUGAUCCAGCCAUGCCGCGUGUGGGAAGAAGGUCUUCGGAUUGUAAAGCACUUUAAGUUGGUAGGCGUUACCAACAGAAUAAGCACCGGCUAACUUCGUGCCAGCAGCCGCGGUAAUAC
rnacentral:rRNA from 1 species